rnacentral:rRNA from 1 species
CGGGACCGCAAGGUCAGUGGCAAACGGGUGCGUAACGCGUAAGCAACCUGCCUCAUACUGGGGGAUAGCCCGGCGAAAGCUGGGGUAAACCCGCACGGUCCUACGGAAUCACCUGGUUUGGUAGGUAAACAUUUAUGGGUAUGAGAGGGGCUUGCGUCUGAUUAGUUAGUUGGCAGGGUAACGGCCUACCAAGACGAUGAUCAGUAGGGGUUCUGAGAGGAUUGGCCCCCACAUGGGUACUGAGAUACGGACCCA